GUGGGGAAUCUUAGACAAUGGGGGAAACCCUGAUCUAGCCAUGCCGCGUGAGCGAUGAAGGCCUUAGGGUUGUAAAGCUCUUUCAGCUGGGAAGAUAAUGACUGUACCAGCAGAAGAAGCCCCGGCUAACUCCGUGCCAGCAGCCGCGGUAAUACGGAGGGGGCUAGCGUUGUUCGGAAUUACUGGGCGUAAAGCGCACGUAGGCGGACCGGAAAGUCAGAGGUGAAAUCCCAGGGCUCAACCUUGGAACUGCCUUUGAAACUCCUGGUCUUGAGGUCGAGAGAGGUGAGUGGAAUUCCGAGUGUAGAGGUGAAAUUCGUAGAUAUUCGGAGGAACACCAGUGGCGAAGGCGGCUCACUGGCUCGAUACUGACGCUGAGGCGCGAAAGCCAGGGGAGCGAACGGGAUUAGAAACCCUUGUAGUCC
rnacentral:rRNA from 1 species